rnacentral:rRNA from 1 species
GACGAACGCUGGCGGCGUGCUUAACACAUGCAAGUCGAACGGAAAGGCCCUGCUUUUGUGGGGUGCUCGAGUGGCGAACGGGUGAGUAACACGUGAGUAACCUGCCCUUGACUUUGGGAUAACUUCAGGAAACUGGGGCUAAUACCGGAUAGGAGCUCCUGCUGCAUGGUGGGGGUUGGAUAGUUUCGGCGGUUGGGGAUGGACUCGCGGCUUAUCAGCUUGUUGGUGGGGUAGUGGCUUACCAAGGCUUUGACGGGUAGCCGGCCUGGGAGGGUGACCGGCCAAAUUGGGACUGAGAUACGGCCCAGACUCCUACGGGAGGCAGCAGUGGGGAAUAUUGCACAAUGGGCGGAAGCCUGAUGCAGCAACGCCGCGUGCGGGAUGACGGCCUGCGGGUUGGAAACCGCUUUCGCCUGUGACGAAGCGUGAGUGACGGUAAUGGGUAAAGAAGCACCGGCUAACUACGUG